GAUGGAAUGGAAUCGGAUGGCAGCACGUGGCGCCCUUCCGUUUGUUUGCCCGCUCUUUUUUUUAAUUUCAA
ensembl:ncRNA ZK757.6 ncRNA